rnacentral:tRNA from 1 species
ACCUGGGUGGCUCAGUCAGUUAAGCAUCUGACUUCGGCUCAGGUCAUGAUCUCGUAGUUCAUGAGUUCAAGCCCCAUGUCAGGUU